rnacentral:misc_RNA from 1 species
GAUGAAGAACGCAGCGAAAUGCGAUAAGUAAUGUGAAUUGCAGAAUUCAGUGAAUCAUCGAAUCUUUGAACGCACAUUGCGCCCACCAGUAUUCUGGCGGGCAUGCCUGUUCGAGCGUCAUUUCAACCAUCAAGCCCCCGGCUUGUGUUGGGGACCUGCGGCUGCCGCAGGCCCUGAAAACCAGUGGCGGGCUCGCUAGUCACUCCGAGCGUAGUAAUACAUCUCGCUCAGGGCGUGCUGCGGGUUCCGGCCGUUAAAAAGCCUUAUUUACCCAAGGUUGACCUCGGAUCAGGUAGGAAGACCCGCUGAACUUAAGCAUAUCAAUAAGCGGAGGA